rnacentral:rRNA from 1 species
AUUGAACGCUGGCGGCAGGCUUAACACAUGCAAGUCGAGCGGAGAUGAGGUGCUUGCACCUUAUCUUAGCGGCGGACGGGUGAGUAAUGCUUAGGAAUCUGCCUAUUAGUGGGGGACAACAUUCCGAAAGGAAUGCUAAUACCGCAUACGUCCUACGGGAGAAAGCAGGGGAUCUUCGGACCUUGCGCUAAUAGAUGAGCCUAAGUCGGAUUAGCUAGUUGGUGGGGUAAAGGCCUACCAAGGCGACGAUCUGUAGCGGGUCUGAGAGGAUGAUCCGCCACACUGGGACUGAGACACGGCCCAGACUCCUACGGGAGGCAGCAGUGGGGAAUAUUGGACAAUGGGGGGAACCCUGAUCCAGCCAUGCCGCGUGUGUGAAGAAGCCCUUAUGGUUGUAAAGCACUUUAAGCGAGGAGGAGGCUACUGAGACUAAUACCUUGCUGUUUUGACGUUACCGACAGAAUAAGCACCGGCUAACUUCGUGCCAGCCGCCGCAGUAACAC